rnacentral:siRNA from 1 species
AUGCAGAAGUGAUUCCAAGUAUG